UUUGAUUAAAUUGAUUUGGUCUUUUCACAUGGGAUUCCCUAUUUUAUAGUAUCACUAAUAUCAAAUAUGGUUACAUGUUUUGCUUUUAUUUAGGGAAUUAAUCAUUGAAUUAAAGUGCCACUUAUUUUGAUAACCGUUUGGAAAAAUACUAAUUAAGAAUAUUGAUUUGUUUUACAUGAGAGGGCCAUGUUUUUUACUUGGUCGUGAUAUUUAUAUACGCAUGCAUUUUAUAAACAAGAAAAGGAGAUAUAGCAAGUAUAUACAUGCCCAAAACUUAUGGUGUUUUAUUUUUAUCUAAUCUUCGAAACAAAGUAUUUUCUAAUAAGUGUCUGAGUUACCAACCUUGUUGCUAUUCUUGUGUCUUGAUAGCCUCGGUACGUUUAUCACCGAGAAGAACCGGUUGUAUUCUGGGGGAGUUGCGCAAUAUUUGCGGAUAAUUCCUUAGUUCAGUGAUUACACGCCUCCGGUUAAAUAGUUU
rnacentral:lncRNA from 1 species